AAAAAGGCAAACCCUAGGUUUCUGUGUCCAACGUUUGACCGUCCGUCUUAUUUGAAAAAAUUAAGAAAAAAAUUUAAAAGACAAGUCACGCAUAAAGUAUUAAUCAUGUUUUAUCAUCUAACAACAAUGAAAAUACUAAUUAUAAAAAAAUUUCAUAUAAGACGGACAAUCAAACGUUGGACACGGAAACCCAGGGUUUGUCUUUUU
rnacentral:pre_miRNA from 1 species